AUAGCCACUAGAGGCGUUGCAGUACGACUUCCGGUGUCGUGUCUGUGUCAUUAGUUGGCUGAGAAUAUCCGGCCAUGUCUACGCUCAAUACCCAGCAUAUCGUGGGUGUUCAGAAUGAUUGAUGGCCGAACAUC